UAGGGAAUCUUCGGCAAUGGACGAAAGUCUGACCGAGCAACGCCGCGUGAGUGAAGAAGGUUUUCGGAUCGUAAAACUCUGUUGUUAGAGAAGAACAAGGACGUUAGUAACUGAACGUCCCCUGACGGUAUCUAACCAGAAAGCCACGGCUAACUACGUGCCAGCAGCCGCGGUAAUACGUAGGUGGCAAGCGUUGUCCGGAUUUAUUGGGCGUAAAGCGAGCGCAGGCGGUUUCUUAAGUCUGAUGUGAAACCCCCCGGCUCAACCGGGGAGGGUCAUUGGAAACUGGGGGACUUGAGUGCAGAAGAGGAGGGUGGAAUUCCAUGUGUAGCGGUGAAAUGCGGAGAUAUAGGGAGGACCACAAGUGGCGAAGGCGGCUCUCUGGUCUGUAACUGACGCUGAGGCUCGAAAGCGUGGGGAGCAAACAGG
rnacentral:rRNA from 1 species